rnacentral:rRNA from 1 species
AUGAAAAGUGAGACCAAGGGGCUGAAAACAUUGAUUAUGAGCGAGUCACCGUGCACAUACUACAUCCAUUGCUUUAUACAGCUCUAGUUGGUUCUUGUUGUCGUAUCCAGAGCUAAUAGUGGACUGGUGUGGUAUUUUGAUCAAGUCUCUCAGCUAUUGAAUAUCAUUGGACUUUAUUUUAAGCGCCAUGAUAUGCUUUCAAAUGUUAGAGCACAAGAAAUUUUGAAAGCACUUGAAGAUGGUGAAGCACAAAGUGGACGUGUUAACCAAACGAUGGGGUUAGCUAGGCUGGUGGAAACUUGUUGGGGUUCUCAUUACAAAAUCACUCUUUACAUCAUUACUAUGUAUUCCACAAUCCGUGUAGUGCUCAUGAAGAUAGGAAAAGAUCCCGCACGUAGAAAUGAUUGGCUAAAAAUUCAUACAAUUGUGGAAGCUUUUGGGUCAUAAGAGCUCAUUUUCAAUGCACACUUGAUGCUUGUCAUACUUGCGUAAAAUGAUGAGUUAUCUCAAUGUUUGCAAACGGGACAUGAAAUUAUUAAUUCUAUGAGCCUUGUUGAUUUGGCUAAGGAGAGGAUGCAACAUAUGAGAGAUCAUGGAUGGGAUGGAUCUCAAGAAACGGUGAGGUCCUUUUGCACUAAGAAUGGAAUCAAAAUUCCUCUAUCGGAUGCUAGGUAUGGUCAUCAUGGAAGAUCAUGUCAUUUUUAUGCAGAUCAAACAAUUGAUGAUCAUUACAGAAGAGAAGUUUAUCUUGGCAGCCUCACUGAUAUUUGUUAGCAAGAGGUUGAUAAUUGCUUUGAUGAGGUUAAUAUGGAGUUGGUCCGUUGCAUGUGGGCUCGGAACUCUCUCGAUUCUUGUGCUUUUUUGAUCGAGAUAAAGUACUUCAACUAG